rnacentral:lncRNA from 1 species
CAGUACUGUGACAUUAAAAAAGAGUUCUGGCUCUCGAGCUUCAGAAGCUGUUGUAUAAUGUUAUAUAGGUUUAUAAUAAACAGUUCUUCUCUUUCCCAAUGCAUGUAUCUAUUAUUGAUAGGUACUGCAUAUUUCUGUCUUCUCAUGUUUGUGUUCCUUGACUCCUGUCCUUGUGCAUCUUUGUCUCCUUUCUCUCCUUUGCCUUUCUCUCCUUUGCCUUUCUCUCCUCCUCAUACACACAUACGCAUAUGUCUAACUUUUUCUCUUUCUCGAUCCUUUGCUAGAUCUCCCAAAUCUCUUCUCUCUUUUUUGUGUUACACAGUUUUAGUAUCAUACAUGGUUGUAUCACAGACAUUAAUUGUCACUUGCUGCAAUGUGGGAACAGAAAUGCAAAUAAAUGCUAUCAAAAUUGUAACAACAGAUAUGUCCAAGAAAGUAACAUUAAUGCUGUGUUGCAUUGGCUGAAGCAUAAUGAUGUGCCUCAAUCCUGAUAUGUACCUCUAUCUUGCAAUGGACCAAGAUACUACUGAUGUCAUCACAUAAUGACUCUUACAUAAUUCAAGCAUAAAGACGACACAAAGAUUGAAACCUGAUUUAUUAAAUUAUUUUUUUUAAUAAUUAUUAUUGUUUAAAUGUAAUAAUCCGAUUCAGUGAAAACAAUAACAAGAAUUUUUAUUAAUUUAUUGAUAAUCAUUAUAC